rnacentral:rRNA from 1 species
UUUGAUCAUGGCUCAGGACGAACGCUGGCGGCGUGCUUAACACAUGCAAGUCGAACGAGAAUCUGUGGAUCGAGGAUUCGUCCAAGUGAAGCAGAGGACAGUGGCGGACGGGUGAGUAACGCGUGAGGAACCUGCCUUUCAGAGGGGGACAACAGUUGGAAACGACUGCUAAUACCGCAUGAUACGUUUUAGGGGCAUCCCUGAGACGUCAAAGAUUUAUCGCUGAAAGAUGGCCUCGCGUCUGAUUAGCUAGUUGGUGAGGUAACGGCCCACCAAGGCGACGAUCAGUAGCCGGACUGAGAGGUUGACCGGCCACAUUGGGACUGAGAUACGGCCCAGACUCCUACGGGAGGCAGCAGUGGGGAAUAUUGGGCAAUGGGCGCAAGCCUGACCCAGCAACGCCGCGUGAAGGAAGAUGGCUUUCGGGUUGUAAACUUCUUUUAAGAGGGAAGAGCAGAAGACUGUACCUCUAGAAUAAGCCACGGCUAACUACGUGCCAGCAGCCGCGGUAAUACGUAGGUGGCAAGCGUUGUCCGGAUUUACUGGGUGUAAAGGGCGUGCAGCCGGGAAUGCAAGUCAGAUGUGAAAUCCAUGGGCUUAACCCAUGAACUGCAUUUGAAACUGUAUUUCUUGAGUACUGGAGAGGCAAUCGGAAUUCCUAGUGUAGCGGUGAAAUGCGGAGAUAUUAGGAGGAACACCAGUGGCGAAGGCGGAUUGCUGGACAGCAACUGACGGUGAGGCGCGAAAGUGUGGGGAGCAAACAGGAUUAGAUACCCUGGUAGUCCACACUGUAAACGAUGAAUACUAGGUGUGCGGGGACUGACCCCCUGCGUGCCGCAGUUAACACAAUAAGUAUUCCACCUGGGGAGUACGAUCGCAAGGUUGCAACUCAAAGGAAUUGACGG